GGUUUCAGAAUUCCAAACGCUCCUUUGAAAAACUGUGGUGUCUCUUUAAGAGCCAUUUGGUGCAUUUCAUAGCCUGAUUCAUGUCACCAGCUGCCCCUGAUUUCAGUGAGAAAUGAAGAAUUUAUAGGGAACUGUAAAAUGGGGACAGGUUUUUAGUUUUCUAAAUUGAGGUUUAACUGGCAAACUUCUGAAGGCUCAAGAAACCCCGAGUCUAGCUGUGGGGGAACUGGUUUCUUUUCUGUUUAGAAGAAAUAAACACACAAACACAUUAUCUAACUCUUAAUGUGUUGUGAGAAAGAAAGCACUGCUCUCUGCUGAGUGGGAAAAUGAAGAAUCAGCCUUGUGGGCAAGAGGAGGAGGAGGAGGAUCACAUUGGCCAGUAGGCAGCACCCUGUGCUGGCAGAGGGAGAAAUCUGAGCCUCAGCCGCGCCGCGCCACGAACGGGCUUUGUACAAACUAUCUGGUUUCAAGUUGCAAGACUCCGGGAGUCUCUGGGAAGGUGCCCCAGAGACAGGGCGCCCUUUGCGGGGACCCUGAGGAUUGGUGAGAAUCCCCCAUCCCCAGCCACCCAGAGGGCAAGCAGGCUCACCCUCAUACAGGACAAUGUUCUCAGACCUUCUCUGAGGAGACACGUGAACCCCUCUGCAUGAUUUUCUAGAGCCCUGCUGUCUACUGCACAGGUCUGGGAUGGACGUCAGAGGAUGAUCUUGAUGGAACUGGAGCAAGGCCGGAGCAGCAGAACUGCUUAGCAACCCAGGGAACUGGAUGGCACAUAGCUAGUUCCCCCUCCUAAACCCUAAACAUGCUUCUCAUGUGUCCGGGGCCAGCCUCAACAAAAAUACCUUUCUUCCAGAGUGGAGGCAUGGGAAUUUAGAAAUACAGUAAAGAAUACAAAGACACGAACAAAAAUAAUAAAACGCAGAAAAACAUAGGAUAGUAUUGGGAGGAAAUUUCAGUGAGUACUGAAAAUUCAUCCCUGUUUAAUUUCCAACAGCUUAAUAUACCCCUGAUUUCAAAAGGUAGGAGGAGAACAAAAGGACUGCACUAAUAUACAAAUUGAAAGUCAUGGGGGUCCAUUCACUGCUCUUGCUCUUGACUCACGCCCUAAACACUCUGUAGGCAAACCACUCCCUGGGUGGAAUCCCAAGUUACUUCCAUAAAAAGAACUAGAACCUAGUUGGAUCCUUAGACUUUUGUUUUGUAGGAACCAACUACUUCCCUAUUUCAGGAUCAGGAGGUCUGACAACUAGCCACACCUGUUUACAGUAGCCUUGAGAGAGGAGAACUCUGAUUUACUUCUAGGUAAAUAGUUGUUUACCUCUGUUUGAGUUAGAGGCACAAUAAUCUCGAACUAAAAACAAGUCCUGAGUUCUCUGACCUUUGGCCUCUUUGGGCCUCCAAACUCACGUAGUCAGAAAUAGCUGUAAAUAUGAUAAACGUGUGUUUGAAGCUGCAGCUUGUUAUAGUCUGUUCAUGGUAUUUGUUGGUUAUUGUAUAUAAGCAUGUGGACAGCUGGUGUCACAGUCCCAGCUCCCCAGGAAGGAGAGGCAGGAAGACCACAUGAGCACAAGCGUUCGACGCCAUCCUGGACAGCGCAGUGAGACAUUGCCCUUGAAAACAUUACAAAAUACAGAAACAAAAUCUAACAGUUGCUUGGAUUUAGAAAACCCAUUGCUUAUAAAAGAAUUUCCUUCCGAGAUAAAUCUAAGCAGCGUCCACCUACGCAUGCGUCCAGUUUUCCAUGAGCUGUUUAUAAACCACAUGCAAUCUAAUAAUGCUGUGGAUGUAUGAGGAGGCAAUAAAAUCCCGAGAGGUUUAGUCCGGACCCAGCUUGGCUGAAGAACAUAGUGCAAAUAAACAAAUUUGACUAUCGUCCCCCUUCAGGCUUAAUGUCGUCAGUCCCCAGGCCUCCCGCAGCCCCAACCAAGUGUUUAUACACUGUCACUCUACAGUGUCCGUGUAUACUAAGUGCAUGCAGAGAUGCUAUCAUCACUGGCUUCGGAGCCCUCUCCUUUCCCCACACUGCCCCCUCUUCUGUGCAUUCCUUUAGCCCAGCAAACUUCUGGCCUGCUUUCUGUCUCUCUAUUGUUUGGCUUUUCUAGAAAUUUCAUAUAAAUGAAACCAUACAACACUUGUCUUUGAUGUUUAGCUUCUUCAAUUAAAAUACUGCCUGCAAAGACAGUCCCGGUUUUACAAGUAUGUGUAAUUCAUUCUUUAUCUUUAGAUCUUCACUUCGGGGGCAAGCCACUUUAAACCAAUUCUGUCUACCAGGUAAAGUGUGGAAGUUUCCAGAUUUGUUAUUGGUGGGCUUACAAUUCCCCCACUAUAGCUUACAUGGACUGUCCUUCUCCCCUUGAAGCCUUGCAGACUCUACGAUCUUCUGUACUGAUUUAUCUGUUCUAUAGGAAGGGUAAGUGUUGGUUCCUGAAACUUCCCUAGCCAUCACUCAGUGUACACAGUACUGAAUGACUAUGUAAAAUGGAUUUCUCAUUAAGAUCCAAGUAAAAAUAUUUCUUAGAAAGCAUUUAUUUAGGCAGUGCCAACUAAUAUUCAUAAUAAGUCACUAAAGACUCCUACAAUAAAUUAAUAGUCUAUUUGGGUCCAUAAAUCCUGGGAUCUAGUAAGACACUCUGCAGAAGACAAGGAUGAGACCCCGGGGAGAAAGUUAACUUUCUGACGCUAAACAGGAAGCAAGCCUGAUGCUGGCCUGGUAACCCCCAUUUUCCUCUGCACCAGAAACUGAAAUGGAUUAUUCAGGAGGGAGUGGGCAUGGCUUGUCUCUUAAAGAGACAGAGCAGAUCA